rnacentral:rRNA from 1 species
CCCUGGUGCUUUAAGGAUGAAGGCCAUACCCCUUCCCAUUCCGAACAGGGUCGUCAAGCUUCAUCCUUCCGAUGAUAGUCUGCAGAAGCAGGCGAAAGUAGGAUGCGCCAGGGC